rnacentral:rRNA from 1 species
UACGUAGGGGGCAAGCGUUGUCCGGAAUUAUUGGGCGUAAAGCGCGCGCAGGCGGCUAUUUAAGUCUGGUGUUAAACCUUGGGCUCAACCUGGGGUCGCACUGGAAACUGGGUGGCUUGAGUACAGAAGAGGAAAGUGGAAUUCCACGUGUAGCGGUGGAAUGCGUAGAGAUCCGGAAGAACACCGGUGGCCGAAGGCGGCCUGCUGGGCCAGUGCUGACACUGAGGCGCGACAGCGUGGGGAGCAACAG